rnacentral:tRNA from 1 species
GCCCUCGUAGCUCAUCCGGAUAGAGCGCAGGAUUCCUAAUCCUGAGGUAGUGGGUUCGAGUCCCGCCGGGGGCA